UCCGGAGGUCCCCUUGUUGCUU
rnacentral:miRNA from 1 species